rnacentral:rRNA from 1 species
UACGUAGGUGGCAAGCGUUGUCCGGAAUUAUUGGGCGUAAAGCGCGCGCAGGCGGUUCCUUAAGUCUGAUGUGAAAGCCCACGGCUCAACCGUGGAGGGUCAUUGGAAACUGGGGAGCUUGAGUGCAGAAGAGGAAAGUGGAAUUCCAAGUGUAGCGGUGAAAUGCGUAGAGAUUUGGAGGAACACCAGUGGCGAAGGCGACUUUCUGGUCUGUAACUGACACUGAGGCGCGAAAGCGUGGGGAGCAAACAGG